GUGCCAGCAGCCGCGGUAACACGUAGGGGGCGAGCGUUGUCCGGAUUUAUUGGGCGUAAAGAGCUCGUAGGCGGUUCGCUAAGUCGGGUGUGAAACCUCCAGGCUCAACCUGGAGACGCCACCUGAUACUGGUGUGACUAGAGUCCGGUAGGGGAGUGUGGAACUCCUGGUGUAGCGGUGAAAUGCGCAGAUAUCAGGAAGAACACCAGCGGCGAAGGCGGCACUCUGGGCCGGUACUGACGCUGAGGAGCGAAAGCGUGGGUAGCAAACAGGAUUAGAUACCCUGGUAGUCC
rnacentral:rRNA from 1 species